rnacentral:rRNA from 1 species
UACGUAGGGACCUAGCGUUGUCCGGAAUCAUUGGGCGUAAAGCGCGCGUAGGCGGCCCGGUAAGUCCGUUGUAAAAGUCGAAGGCUCAACCUUCGAAAGCCGAUGGAUACUGCCGGGCUAGAGUACGGAAGAGGCGAGUAGAAUUCCUGGUGUAGCGGUGGAAUGCGCAGAUAUCAGGAGGAAUACCCAUAGCGAAGGCAGCUCGCUGGGACGUUACUGACGCUGAGGCGCGAAAGCGUGGGGAGCAAACGGG